rnacentral:rRNA from 1 species
AUGAAGACGCAUGUGCAGCAAUAUGUGCGGUGUUGUCAGGUGUGUCAGCAGGCCAAGCCAGACCACACUGCGUCACCAGGUCUGCUAAUUCCACUGCCAAUUCCUAAAGAAUCAUGGGAUCUCAUCACCAUGGACUUCGUGGACGGGUUGCCACAAUUGGGUCAACACAACUGCUUGUUGGUGGUGGUCGACAAAAGGACUCGGUUUGCUCACUUCCUCCCUGUUGCGCAUCCGUAUACAGCAUCCAAAGUGACCAACAUCUACAUGCAACAACUGUACAAGCUGCACGGCUUCCCGAGAGCUAUCGUAUCUGACCGCGACCCAGUCUUCACCAGCCACUUUUGGCAGGAGCUGUUCAAGUAUGCAGGUACGGAAUUGCGCAUGAGCACAGCGAACCAUCCACAGACUGACGGCCAAACCGAGCGAGUCAACCAAUGCAUUGAGACGUACCUCCGUUGCUUUGUUCAAGCAUGCCCGAAGCGCUGGAAUUUUUGGGUACCUCUGGCGCAGUUCUGGUACAAUUCAUCCCACCACUCAGCCAUCGGGAUGACACCAUUCAAGGCCAUGUUUGGAAGAGAACCAAGGCACUGGGGGAUCACUGCAUCUACAUCAUCGUCAGUGCCAGCACUGCAAACCUGGCUUGAAGAGUGA